rnacentral:rRNA from 3 species
UCGAACGAUGAAGCCCUUCGGGGUGGAUUAGUGGCGAACGGGUGAGUAACACGUGGGCAAUCUGCCCUGCACUCUGGGACAAGCCCUGGAAACGGGGUCUAAUACCGGAUAACACCCCCUCUCGCAUGGGAGGGGGUUCAAAGCUCCGGCGGUGCAGGAUGAGCCCGCGGCCUAUCAGCUUGUUGGUGAGGUAGUGGCUCACCAAGGCGACGACGGGUAGCCGGCCUGAGAGGGCGACCGGCCACACUGGGACUGAGACACGGCCCAGACUCCUACGGGAGGCAGCAGUGGGGAAUAUUGCACAAUGGGCGAAAGCCUGAUGCAGCGACGCCGCGUGAGGGAUGACGGCCUUCGGGUUGUAAACCUCUUUCAGCAGGGAAGAAGCGAAAGUGACGGUACCUGCAGAAGAAGCGCCGGCUAACUACGUGCCAGCAGCCGCGGUAAUACGUAGGGCGCAAGCGUUGUCCGGAAUUAUUGGGCGUAAAGAGCUCGUAGGCGGCUUGUCACGUCGGUUGUGAAAGCCCGGGGCUUAACCCCGGGUCUGCAGUCGAUACGGGCAGGCUAGAGUUCGGUAGGGGAGAUCGGAAUUCCUGGUGUAGCGGUGAAAUGCGCAGAUAUCAGGAGGAACACCGGUGGCGAAGGCGGAUCUCUGGGCCGAUACUGACGCUGAGGAGCGAAAGCGUGGGGAGCGAACAGGAU